rnacentral:misc_RNA from 1 species
AAGAAAUCGUCGAUUUUCUAGAAAAUUACGCGAUAUUUCUCUCCCGUUCGAGAUAUUUCGACGUUUAAACGCUCUGUUCAAUGCAUUAUGCGUGCAGAACGUAGUGCGUGUGCUGCACGUCGUAGAAACAAGCCCAGAUACAGGCAAAACGCAUUCAUUCGUCGAUUUUCUAGAAAAUUAUGCGAUAUUUCUCUCCCGUUUAAGAUAUUUCGACGUUUAAACGCUCUUUUCAAUGCAUUAUGCGUGCAGAACGUAGUGCGCGUGCUGUACGUCGUAGAAACAAGCCCAGAUGCACGCAAAUUGCAAUAAAUCGUCGAUUUUGUAGAGAACUAAGCGAUAUUUCUCU